UAUUAUCUUUCCUAAUAUAAAUAAGAAGCAUAUCUCCACAGGUUAUGUGGUGAAGAUAUUCACCAAAUCCCUUUUCUAAGUCUUCUAUUUAUCAAUAACAACAGCGAACCCUAGAAAUUACUUCUUCUCUGUUCAUUACAUCUCCAAUUACUUCUCAAACCCUGACUGCAAUCUCUAAUUCAAACUAAAACCCAUGUCUUACUUAGGGUUUCUAUUUGUUUGAGAUGUUUGUAUUUGUUUGUAUCCAUCUCACUGACAGUAUGAUUGAUUUGGUGAAGCACGGGGAAUGAAUGUUGCAAUGAGUGAUUGAAUGAGAUGUGUAUGAAAUAGAUGAAUGCUUAGGGUGUUCUCAGUUCUAUCUGUUGUGAGUAGUGUCGAGAUAUGAGCUCUGGGUUGUGUUUACAAGCAUUUGGUGGUGACGGAAAUGUUGCAGUUCAGGUCAAGAGGUAGAGAAAAUGGUUUUUGAUGGAAAGAUCGAACAACCGUCAAAGAUUUGGAUCUUGCCAUUCGUUUGAAGGGUUGGAAAUUCGUUUAUGUUGGUGAUAUUCAGGAAAAAAAAUGAACUGCCAAGUACUGUUGAAGCAUUUCGAUUCGAACAACAUAGAUGGUCCUGCGGACCUGCAAAUUUGUUUAGAAAAAUGGCUAUGGAAAUCAUCAGAAAUGAGCAAAAAAAAGGCAAGAGGGGUUCGCAGUUUGCUGCAACAAUGACGGCAUACCAAAAAAAAGGGACUGUAAUAAGUGGUAUAAUAAAAGUAAGUGAGCAGUAGAUUGAAGUAAGCUAUCAUGGCGCGACAUUGGUUUGGCCUGGCAAGAUGGCCUAGGCCUUGACCACUCAGCUGAGUCAGUUAGCGGACUCUGACUAGAACUAGCUGACUCAGUGGAACGGGGCGAUCCGAAAUCGAGCUAUACUAAAUCAAAAAUCCUAAGUAUGCAUCGGAACGGGACGAAGCAAAGCGGUUUUCGGGUACGCGCGGUGCGUAGCACGGGCAAAAAAUCUAGUGUCACAUAAAACCCCGAUUUGGACAAUCGGAUUAUACAUAUGCCAACGUCAACCGAUUCUGUAAGUCCUCUGUUAACCUACCCAGAAUCGGUUUACAAGUGCAUGAACGUAAACCGAUUAUGGGUACUGUUUACGAGAAAAAAGUCAAGAAAUUUAAGUUGUUUGAUGUUUUGAAGAACUCUUUAACAUUAGUUGAUCUCACAUCUAAAACAUAACUAGUACAACCGUUGCCACGGUGUGAGGGCCGACCGAAGAACUUGACAAAACGACACCACUACGUGAUUGCACAAAUUCAGAUUUGUAAAGUAAAAAAAACAUUGUAAAAGAGAUGUUCAGACAAAUUUUAUCAUAAUUCUAGUUUAUAAAACAAAAUUGUAUUAACUUGAUAAUGUAAAAAAAUUUC